AGCAAAGAUGAAUUUUCAGCAUCAUUACUCCAGUCUUCAGUGUCACAUGAUCCUUCAGAAAUCAUUCUAAUAUGAUGAUUUGCUGCUCAACAAACAUUAUUAUUGUUAUUAUGAUUAAUGUUGAAAACAGUUGUGCUGCUUAAUAUUUUUGUGAAAACCAUGAUACAUUUUUUCUCGAUUUUCUUUGAUGGCUAGAAAGUUCAAAAGAACAACAUUUAUUUGAAAUAUUUUUUUUGAAGCAUUAUAAAUGUCUUUACUGUUGCUGCAAUUUUGAUCAAUUUAAUUCCUCCCUGCUAAAUAAAAGUACUUAUUUCUUUAAAAAUAAAUUACUGACCCCAACCUUUUUAAUGGUAGUGUAGAAAUAUUUAAAUAUUCAGUGAACUAUCACCGCAGCGUACUUCAUAGAAACAUGCGUGUAGUGUAUGUUGUGUUAAAUGUGCACUUUCUGAACGUACACCCUUGUUCUGUUGCUGAACUGACCUGCUCAACGCCUGCAUGUUUUUCUGUCCUUCAGAAAAGAGGCAGUCCUUAGGAAGCUGGGAGAUAGGCCUGAAAUCCAGAACUAUGAGACUUUAGCAAAACUUCACAAACUCUACGUAGAGAAAGGGCACUCAGAGGGAACAGACCCAGCAGCAACACUGACCAUCAAUGAGGCCUUCAGUGAACUGAAAAUCGAGAACGAAAAGAAGAAAAAUGACAUCCUUACUAUAGUUGGUGAGGAUUUAAUGAACCUUUGGAAGCUCUAAUAGAUUAAUUUUAUUUUACAUAACAUAGUUUAAAUGAAAUGUGGAUCAUGUACCAGGCUUUCUCUGCUCAUUUGUUGUCCUUCAGGAAAAAUGACAUCCUUACUAUAGUUGGUGAGGAAUUUAAAUGAACCUUUGGAAGCUCUUCAACACUGCGGAGGAGGUCACAAAGGGAAAAAGCUUUUCUAAUUGGCAAUCAAAAGCUUUCAAAAAUAUGGACAGACAUAAACAAAAAGCUUCCGGAGGACAUUAUUGGUCUGCUGCGUGUUUUGCGCAAAGACAAAAGAGACAAAAAUCCUCAUCCAGAUCUGUAACAUCUCUAUUCCUGUUAUUUGACCCGUGUACUCAUUUCAGUUCAGUUCCAUUAUUAUGUAUAUGGAGGUUGUCAAGUGUUGGUGAGUUUAUCUGACUGUAAUGCUUCUGUUUUUCAGUUAAUUCACUCUGCCUCUUUUGUUUCUAACAGAAAUGUCAAUGAUGGGUUUAAAAAGAAGAAGAUUUUUGACCUCUUCCCGGACUUUUUCAUCAGUUUACACAGAGUGGCUAAAGACUUGAGCUGGAAGUAUUGAAGAUGCUGAGAGGACGUUACACCACAACAUACCAAAAGCAUUUACAUUUUUAACAGUCGACAUCAGACUUCUCAUCAUUUGAAAUGGAGCAAUCAUUUUUGUUGAUCUGAAUAGCCUAAACCAAUUUGUCAAAUAAAUCACUCUUUCUGCAAAACCUUAAACAUAUUCAGGCAGAGACAAAAUUGCCUGUGACUAGAUGAAGUCCUCUGGCUGGACUCAGCUCUAAUACAUGAUCCUGAGGGAGAAUCAUCUUUCUGUUCUUUGUGUGUGUGUGUGUGUGCAGAGACAAAAUUAGCCUGUGACUAGAUGAAGUCCUCUGGCUGGACUCAGCUCUAAUACAUGAUCCUGAGGGAGGAAUCAUCUUUCUGUUCUUUGUGUGUGUGUGUGUGUGUGUGUGUGUGUGUGUGAUUGCAAAAUGUUUACUACAUACAAUAAAAAAUUGUUGUAACUACAUGCCCUGGACACUGUGCACUCAUUUUUGAUUAGUCUAAUGAAUCAUCUGUAGUGUGUGAAAUGAAUAAGAAUCGAUUGUUUGUUGGUCCGGGGAACAAACUCUCAGGGGAGAGUCAUGGGUUCUGUAAAACUAGUAAUAAGAUUUGAAUUUGAUGUGAUGGUUUUGAGAAAUAUGUUUCAGCAUUUCUGAAAAA
rnacentral:lncRNA from 1 species